CGAUUUUUUUUGUUAAUUUAUUUUAUGAUAUAUAUCUUCUCGGUUUACUUGGUUACAUGUAUAGAUUAGUUGUACCAAUGAACUAACUCUUAUUUAGGUUAGAUUGUUGUAUAUAUAUAAAUCUGAUGUAAUCACUUUCCUGAUUAAGAAGAUAUAUUUUAUUUACUUCCAUACUGUAUUUAGUUAACUUACCGCACCCAAUUUAAGAAAAAUGGGAGGAGAAGGUGUCAAUUUCAGCGUCAAAGUCUUGAGCAUGUCUGGUGGCCUGGUGGGGCUUAUUGUAGGCUCGAGCACUGGCCUCAAAAUACCUAUAUUAGUAUAUUGACAUGCUCUGUGUUUUCCCUGUCUGCAUCACCAUUACCAUGAAGUAUGCGGAGCCCCGAGGUAUAUUCUUCAUUUCUUUGACCCUUGAAUAUAAUUUGUGCUGUUUUCCAGAAAUACACCAUGGAUGAAAGGGAAUGAUUUAGUAUAAAAUAAUUUUGUUCUCUCCUAUUCCAAUUCGAUGUCUAGCAUGAUUAGGUAGGGGACCUUUGUUUUGAUUAACCUUGGUAAUCUUCUGUAACGUAUCAGUAGAGAUCCAAAACUUGCUAGUGGAUCUUUCUGAUCAUCUCUUUAGCAUAUAUCAGUAGAGAUCCAAAUACAAUACUUCAUAAGGAUCUUGUCCCGAAGAACAUUAUAGUGUGUUGGAACUUGAAAGUAAUAAAACUACUGAUUUGAUUUUUGUGUUUUCAUAUCUACGGUUUUCGUUUGUUUUAUAGUGCUGUAAUGAAAAUUACUCAAUUAAUUUGUAUGCUUUCUAUCAUUUUCACAAUUGUGGGCACUUUAAAUAAAAACGAAAAGGCUAUUCCAUCUUUUAGAUGCCCAAAUGGUAAACGUUUCGCAUUGUUUGUUGCCUUUGUUAGAACAAUGAC
rnacentral:lncRNA from 1 species